rnacentral:SRP_RNA from 1 species
GCUGGGCAUGGUGGCUUAUGCCUGUAAUCCCAGCACUUUGGGAGGCCGAGGCGGGUGGAUCACCUGAGGUCAGGAGUUCGAGACCAGCCUGACCAACAUGGUGAAACCUCGUCUCUA